CAAAGGAGGCGACUCCGGUGACGGAUGGGCAUGCGGCGCAUUAGGUAGUUGGUAGGGUAACGGCCUACCAAGCCGACGAUGCGUAGGGGUUCUGAGAGGAAGGUCCCCCACAUUGGAACUGAGACACGGUCCAAACUCCUACGGGAGGCAGCAGUGAGGAAUAUUGGUCAAUGGCCGGAAGGCUGAACCAGCCAAGUCGCGUGAGGGAAUAAGGCCCUAUGGGUCGUAAACCUCUUUUGUCAGGGAGCAAAGGCGUCCACGUGUGGACGAGAGGAGAGUACCUGAAGAAAAAGCAUCGGCUAACUCCGUGCCAGCAGCCGCGGUAAUACGGAGGAUGCGAGCGUUAUCCGGAUUUAUUGGGUUUAAAGGGUGCGUAGGCGGAGUGUCAAGUCAGCGGUAAAAUUUCGGGGCUCAACCCCGUCGUGCCGUUGAAACUGACACCCUUGAGUGAGUGAGAAGUAAGCGGAAUGCGUGGUGUAGCGGUGAAAUGCAUAGAUAUCACGCAGAACGCCGAUUGCGAAGGCAGCUUACCGGCGCUCAACUGACGCUGAGGCACGAAAGUGCGGGUAUCGAACAGGAUUAGAUACCCUGGUAGUCCGCACAGUAAACGAUGAAUGCUA
rnacentral:rRNA from 1 species